AGAUCCACAAGAAGGAGUAGGCGAGAGGAGGUGGUGGUGGUGUCAAGACUGAGAUUUGGGCAUACGGGUUUGAAUUCCACACUGUUCUUGAUAGGGAAACAUGCAUCAGGGAAAUGUGAUUAUUGUGGAGCGGAUGAAACUUUGGAGCGUGUUAUUUUGCAGUGUCGGAAUUAUACGGUAGAGAGGAGACGGUUGGUCCAAAAUCUCAGUAGCAUUGCUAUGAAACUUGAUCUUGUAGGGUUACUGCAGAAGGAGUCAGGGGAUAAAUGUUAUCAGGCAUUGUUUCAGGUUUUGAGAGAAGGAAGGUUGUUUGGGAGGAUAUGAAGUGGGUUUUUUUGUUUGUUUGUAUUUUGUUUUGUUUUUUAGCGUGAUUUCUGUCCACACUCCAUACCAGUGGUGUCGGUAAUGCACCAUGCAGUUGUUUGCCAACCGCCAAUAAUACGUAAAAGAAGAAGAAGCAGCGGAAAAACGUGCGAGAGAGAGCGUGAGAAAAAUAAAAAAAAUAACAAUCUAUUGGGAGCGGUUUCGCGUCGCUCACUUCAAAGAUCUGGCUCUCCUCACUAUUUCCCCUGUUUAAAGAAAAUUGAGGGUCAGGUGUUUGUUGGAGAGGUGAAGGAGAAAGAGAAAGCUAAGAAACAGUAGGAGAAGGCUGUUUCCUCUGGACAGACUGCUGGACUCGUCAAGGCUUCUGGAAGAAAGCACUGUAGUUUUCAGUCUCUGUCAAUAUGGUUGGGGAAGCCUGCAGUCAGCUGAGACUGAAGAAGUCACUUGGAUGAGUGAUGAAACGUU